CACAAUGACUCUCGGCAACGGAUAUCUCGGCUCUUGCAUCGAUGAAGAACGUAGCGAAAUGCGAUACUUGGUGUGAAUUGCAGAAUCCCGUGAACCAUCGAGUCUUUGAACGCAAGUUGCGCCCGAAGCCAUUAGGCCGAGGGCACGCCUGCCUGGG
rnacentral:rRNA from 1 species